rnacentral:lncRNA from 1 species
CUUCCUGGAAGUCUGGCUUCAUCCAUGGAAAACAUUCAAAAUAUCAAUCACAGCAAAAUUAACCUGGGGACCUUGAAACUUCUGAACUUAUCUACCAGGUCCUCCACACUACCUCAUCCACUGGGACAUGUAACUAUUAGCCUGUCAUUGAGCACCAAGGCUCUCCCAUGAGGCCCUCUGCAUGCCUCCCAUGAGACAUGGUCUCUGGUUCUGUUCGGGCUUCAGGCAGUUACCUCUUCCCUGUCAGUGUGUGCCACGAACGCCCUGUCCCCUGCCCCGCUGACACUGCGGCUCGUCUCUGUCUGGGUCUUGCCAGCCAAGUGUCACGGGAACACGUUGGGACAAUGACCAACACCGUAUGCUGAAUUUCUUUCAAGGUGGUAAGUGUCGAGCUUUGGCGGAAACUUUGCUAAAUGGAACAAGACUGGCAAAGAAAUAUCUUGUCAUCCUUGGGAAAGACCCACCCAGCAAAAUCCCAAGCUCGGAUUGGAUCUGCUGUCAACAUUAUUUAUCCCUGCAUCCAGCCUACAGAAACUGUUGGCGUCAUGCAGCUUGGGGUGGACAAAACACGGAAUUCACAGCCUCUCACUUCAGCUGGGCCCUCAUUGGUGCUUUUUACUCCCUCUCCUUAAGCCUCGGUCUCCAGCCACUCCCAAGGUCCUCUAUGACUACUACAACCCCCCUGGGCUUCUCCAUUCCCACCCUCCUCCCCCUUUGCCCAGGCAGCCAGGUCAGAACCCAGAGAGGCACCCUCUGUCUCGCUGCCUUUGUCUCCCUUCACCCACAUCAAGUGUGCAAGGUUGACUAG